rnacentral:rRNA from 1 species
AGAGUUUGAUCCUGGCUCAGGAUGAACGCUGGCGGCGUGCUUAAUACAUGCAAGUCGAACGAAGUUUACCGGAAGCUUGCUUUUAGUAAACUUAGUGGCGGACGGGUGAGUAACGCGUGGGUAACCUGCCUUAUACAGGGGGAUAACAGUUAGAAAUGACUGCUAAUACCGCAUAAGCGCACGGAAUCGCAUGAUUCAGUGUGAAAAGAUUUAUCGGUAUAAGAUGGACCCGCGUCUGAUUAGCUAGUUGGUGAGGUAACGGCCCACCAAGGCGACGAUCAGUAGCCGGCCUGAGAGGGUGAACGGCCACAUUGGGACUGAGACACGGCCCAAACUCCUACGGGAGGCAGCAGUAGGGAAUAUUGGACAAUGGGGGAAACCCUGAUCCAGCGACGCCGCGUGAGUGAAGACGGUCUUCGGAUUGUAAACCUUUGUCCUUGGUGACGAAAAAAAUGACGGUAGCCGAGGAGGAAGCCACGGCUAACUACGUGCCAGCAGCCGCGGUAAUACGUAGGUGGCAAGCGUUGUCCGGAUUUACUGGGUGUAAAGGGAGCGCAGGCGGGGAAACAAGUCAGCUGUGAAAACUACGGGCUUAACCUGUAAACUGCAGUUGAAACUGUUUUUCUUGAGUGAAGUAGAGGUAGGCGGAAUUCCGAGUGUAGCGGUGAAAUGCGUAGAGAUUCGGAGGAACACCAGUGGCGAAGGCGGCCUACUGGGCUUUAACUGACGCUGAGGCUCGAAAGUGUGGGGAGCAAACAGGAUUAGAUACCCUGGUAGUCCACACUGUAAACGAUGAUCGCUAGGUGUGGGGGGUCUGACCCCUUCCGUGCCGCAGUUAACGCAAUAAGCAAUCCACCUGGGGAGUACGACCGCAAGGUUGAAACUCAAAGGAAUUGACGGGGGCCCGCACAAGCAGUGGAUUAUGUGGUUUAAUUCGAAGCAACGCGAAGAACCUUACCAGGUCUUGACAUCCAACUAACGAAAUAGAGAUAUAUCAGGUGCCCUUCGGGGAAAGUUGAGACAGGUGGUGCAUGGUUGUCGUCAGCUCGUGUCGUGAGAUGUUGGGUUAAGUCCCGCAACGAGCGCAACCCCUGCCAUUAGUUGCUACGCAAGAGCACUCUAAUGGGACCGCUACCGACAAGGUGGAGGAAGGUGGGGACGACGUCAAAUCAUCAUGCCCCUUAUGACCUGGGCUACACACGUAAUACAAUGGCCGUUAACAACAGGAAGCAAUACCGCGAGGUGGAGCAAAACCCCAAAAACGGUCUCAGUUCGGAUUGCAGGCUGCAACUCGCCUGUAUGAAGUCGGAAUUGCUAGUAAUCGCGGAUCAGCAUGCCGCGGUGAAUACGUUCCCGGGCCUUGUACUCACCGCCCGUCA